rnacentral:rRNA from 1 species
GACGUAGGAUGCAAGCGUUGUUCGGAUUUAUUGGGCGUAAAGCGAGCGUAGGUGGCUAGUUAAGUCUGGUGUUAAAGCUAGGGGCUCAACCCCUGUGCUGCACUGGAAACUGGCUGGCUUGAGGAUGGUAGGGGAAGGUGGAAUUCCGAGUGUAGCGGUGAAAUGCGUAGAUAUUCGGAGGAACACCGGUGGCGAAAGCGACCUUCUGGGCCAUUUCUGACACUGAGGCUCGAAAGCUUGGGGAGCAAACGGG